UGAGAGGAUGGUUUUCAGAGGGCAUUCAAUC
rnacentral:piRNA from 1 species